rnacentral:rRNA from 1 species
AGCGUACACGGUGGAUGCCCUGGCAGUCAGAGGCGAUGAAGGACGUGCUAAUCUGCGAAAAGCGCCGGCGAGGUGAUAUGAACCUUUGACCCGGCGAUGUCCGAAUGGGGAAACCCAGUGUGUUUCGACACACUAUCGUUAACUGAAUACAUAGGUUAACGAGGCGAACCGGGGGAACUGAAACAUCUAAGUACCCCGAGGAAAAGAAAUCAACCGAGAUUCCCCCAGUAGCGGCGAGCGAACGGGGAGCAGCCCGGAGUCUGAAUCAGCUUGUGUGUUAGUGGAACGGUCUGGAAAGUCCGACGGUACAGGGUGAUAGUCCCGUACACGAAAAUGCACAGGUUGUGAACUCGAAGAGUAGGGCGGGACACGUGGUAUCCUGUCUGAAUAUGGGGGGACCAUCCUCCAAGGCUAAAUACUCCUGACUGACCGAUAGUGAACCAGUACCGUGAGGGAAAGGCGAAAAGAACCCCGGCGAGGGGAGUGAAAAAGAACCUGAAACCGUGUACGUACAAGCAGUGGGAGCCUACUUGUUAGGUGACUGCGUACCUUUUGUAUAAUGGGUCAGCGACUUAUAUUCUGUAGCAAGGUUAACCGUAUAGGGGAGCCGAAGGGAAACCGAGUCUUAACUGGGCGUUAAGUUGCAGGGUAUAGACCCGAAACCCGGUGAUCUAGCCAUGGGCAGGUUGAAGGUUGGGUAACACUAACUGGAGGACCGAACCGACUAAUGUUGAAAAAUUAGCGGAUGACCUGUGGCUGGGGGUGAAAGGCCAAUCAAACCGGGAGAUAGCUGGUUCUCCCCGAAAGCUAUUUAGGUAGCGCCUCGUGAAUUCAUCUUCGGGGGUAGAGCACUGUUUCGGCUAGGGGGCCAUCCCGGCUUACCAACCCGAUGCAAACUACGAAUACCGAAGAAUGUUAUCACGGGAGACACACGGCGGGUGCUAACGUCCGUCGUGAAGAGGGAAACAACCCAGACCGCCAGCUAAGGUCCCAAAGUCAUGGUUAAGUGGGAAACGAUGUGGGAAGGCACAGACAGCCAGGAUGUUGGCUUAGAAGCAGCCAUCAUUUAAAGAAAGCGUAAUAGCUCACUGGUCGAGUCGGCCUGCGCGGAAGAUGUAACGGGGCUAAACCAUGCACCGAAGCUGCGGCAGCGACGCUUAUGCGUUGUUGGGUAGGGGAGCGUUCUGUAAGCCGUUGAAGGUGGCCUGUGAGGGUUGCUGGAGGUAUCAGAAGUGCGAAUGCUGACAUAAGUAACGAUAAAGCGGGUGAAAAGCCCGCUCGCCGGAAGACCAAGGGUUCCUGUCCAACGUUAAUCGGGGCAGGGUGAGUCGACCCCUAAGGCGAGGCCGAAAGGCGUAGUCGAUGGGAAACAGGUUAAUAUUCCUGUACUUGGUGUUACUGCGAAGGGGGGACGGAGAAGGCUAUGUUAGCCGGGCGACGGUUGUCCCGGUUUAAGCAUGUAGGCGGAGGUUCCAGGUAAAUCCGGUACCUUUUAACGCUGAGGUGUGAUGACGAGGCACUACGGUGCUGAAGUAACAAAUGCCCUGCUUCCAGGAAAAGCCUCUAAGCAUCAGGUAACACGAAAUCGUACCCCAAACCGACACAGGUGGUCAGGUAGAGAAUACCAAGGCGCUUGAGAGAACUCGGGUGAAGGAACUAGGCAAAAUGGUGCCGUAACUUCGGGAGAAGGCACGCUGAUAUGUAGGUGAAGCCCCUGCGGGUGGAGCUGAAAUCAGUCGAAGAUACCAGCUGGCUGCAACUGUUUAUUAAAAACACAGCACUGUGCAAACACGAAAGUGGACGUAUACGGUGUGACGCCUGCCCGGUGCCGGAAGGUUAAUUGAUGGGGUUAGCGGCAACGCGAAGCUCUUGAUCGAAGCCCCGGUAAACGGCGGCCGUAACUAUAACGGUCCUAAGGUAGCGAAAUUCCUUGUCGGGUAAGUUCCGACCUGCACGAAUGGCGUAAUGAUGGCCAGGCUGUCUCCACCCGAGACUCAGUGAAAUUGAACUCGCUGUGAAGAUGCAGUGUACCCGCGGCAAGACGGAAAGACCCCGUGAACCUUUACUAUAGCUUGACACUGAACACUGGUCCUUGAUGUGUAGGAUAGGUGGGAGGCUUUGAAGCGUGGACGCCAGUCUGCGUGGAGCCGCCCUUGAAAUACCACCCUUUAAUGGCUGGUGUUCUAACGUAGACCCGUGAUCCGGGUUGCGGACAGUGUCUGGUGGGUAGUUUGACUGGGGCGGUCUCCUCCCAAAGAGUAACGGAGGAGCACGAAGGUUAGCUAAUCCUGGUCGGACAUCAGGAGGUUAGUGCAAUGGCAUAAGCUAGCUUGACUGCGAGAGUGACGGCUCGAGCAGGUGCGAAAGCAGGUCAUAGUGAUCCGGUGGUUCUGAAUGGAAGGGCCAUCGCUCAACGGAUAAAAGGUACUCCGGGGAUAACAGGCUGAUACCGCCCAAGAGUUCAUAUCGACGGCGGUGUUUGGCACCUCGAUGUCGGCUCAUCACAUCCUGGGGCUGAAGUAGGUCCCAAGGGUAUGGCUGUUCGCCAUUUAAAGUGGUACGCGAGCUGGGUUUAGAACGUCGUGAGACAGUUCGGUCCCUAUCUGCCGUGGGCGCUGGAGAAUUGAGGGGGGCUGCUCCUAGUACGAGAGGACCGGAGUGGACGCAUCACUGGUGUUCGGGUUGUCAUGCCAAUGGCACUGCCCGGUAGCUAAAUGCGGAAGAGAUAAGUGCUGAAAGCAUCUAAGCACGAAACUUGCCCCGAGAUGAGUUCU